rnacentral:rRNA from 1 species
UACGAAGGUGGCAAGCGUUACUCGGAAUUACUAGGCGUAAAGGGCAGGUAGGUGGUUUGAUAAGUCUGUUGUGAAAGCUCCCGGCUCAACUGGGAGAGGCCAACGGAUACUAUCAGGCUUGAGUAUAGGAGAGGUUACUGGAAUUCCCGGUGUAGCGGUGAAAUGCGCAGAGAUCGGGAGGAACACCAAUGGCGAAAGCAGGUAACUGGACUAUUACUGACACUCAGCUGCGAAAGCUAGGGGAGCAAACAGG